rfam:Gossypium hirsutum cultivar TM-1 chromosome 7, whole genome shotgun sequence
UGUUAAAAUUUUUAUCUAUUCGUACUGUUAAAAAUUGGUGUGCCUGACGAAAUAAUUAGAUAGUGACAUGUGUUGUGCCACACGUAUGUCAUGCUAACGCACAAAGGCCAAUUUUUAACAACAACAAUGGAUGAAAUUUUUAACA